AUUGAACGCUGGCGGCAGGCCUAACGCAUGCAAGUCGAGCGGAUGAAGGGAGCUUGCUCCUGGAUUCAGCGGCGGACGGGUGAGUAAUGCCUAGGAAUCUGCCUGGUAGUGGGGGAUAACGUCCGGAAACGGGCGCUAAUACCGCAUACGUCCUGAGGGAGAAAGUGGGGGUUCUUCGGACCUCACGCUAUCAGAUGAGCCUAGGUCGGAUUAGCUAGUUGGUGGGGUAAAGGCCUACCAAGGCGACGAUCCGUAACUGGUCUGAGAGGAUGAUCAGUCACACUGGAACUGAGACACGGUCCAGACUCCUACGGGAGGCAGCAGUGGGGAAUAUUGGACAAUGGGCGAAAGCCUGAUCCAGCCAUGCCGCGUGUGUGAAGAAGGUCUUCGGAUUGUAAAGCACUUUAAGUUGGGAGGAAGGGCAGUAAGUUAAUACCUUGCUGUUUUGACGUUACCAACAGAAUAAGCACCGGCUAACUUCGUG
rnacentral:rRNA from 1 species